rnacentral:lncRNA from 1 species
AAAAGACAAAAAUAGCACUAAAUCAAGUUUUUGUUUUCAAACUAGCACUCAAAGUCAAAAGUCACAAAAAUAGCACUUAAUAUUUUAUCAAAAGUCAUAAACUUAGGGUUUAGAGUUAAAGAGUGGGGUUUAGGAUUUAGGGUUUACGGUUUAGGAUUUAGAGUUUAGAGUUUAGGGUUUAGGGUUUAAAGUUUAGGGUUUAGGGUUUAGGGUUUAGAGUUGAGAAAUGAGGUAAAGAUUUCAAAUUUUGAAAAAUAAAAAAAUUAAAAUUUUCAAAAGAUAAAAUGCUAUUUUGGUCAUUUUAGUUUUUGAGUGCUAUUUUUGUGAUAUAAACUUAUAAAUGUGCUAUUUUGGAGAUUUGCCAUAAAACUUUUGCUCCUUCGUUUAUUGCAACCGAUAUAAACCUCUUCUUA